CCCUUUUUCCGGUGCUGAAAGCGGAGUGACAUGAAUGGAUUUACAUUUUGAAAAGCCUCUUCUGGCAUGUUGUGGGAAGUCAGGGACCCUGAAUGGAGGGACCGGCUGGAGCUGCGGCAGAGGAACAUAAAUUGUGAAGAUUGCAUUUUAAUAUGGACAUUUAUCAGUUCCCAAAUAAUACUUUUAUAAUUUCUUAAGCCUGUCUUUACUUUAAUUUCUUAAUCUUGUUAUCUUCGUAAGCUGAGGAUGUACGUCACCUCAGGACCACUGCGAUAAUUGUGUUAACUGUACAAAUUGAUUGUAAAACAUGUGUGUUUGAACACUAUGAAAUCAGUGCACCUUGAAAAAGAACAGAAUAAUAGCGAUUUUUAGGAAACAAGGGAAGACAACCAUAAGGUCUGACUGCCUGCAGGGUCGGGCAAAAAGAGCCAUAUUUUUAUUCUUGAAGAGAGCCUAUAAAUGGACAUGCAAGUAGGAGAGAUAUCACUAAAUUCUUUUCCUAGCAAGGAAUAUUAAUACCCUGGGAAAGGAAUGCAUUCUUGGCAGGAGGUCUAUAAAUGGCCGCUCUGGGAAUGUCUGUCUUAUGCGGUUGAGAUAAGGACUGAGAUACGCCCUGGUCUCCUGCAGUACCCUCAGGCUUACUAGGGUGGGGAAAACUCUGCCCUGGAAAAUUUGUGGUCAGACCGGUUCUCUGCUCUUGAACUCUGUUUUCUGUUGUUUAAGAUGUUUGUCAAGACAAUAUGUACACCGCUGAACAUAGACCCUUAUCAGUUCUGCUUUUGCCCUUUGCCUUGUGAUCUUUGUUGUACCGUUAUCAGUAGCUCUGCUUUUGCCCUUUGUCCUGUUCCCUCAGAAGCAUGUGAUCUUUGUUCUGUUUUUCGCCCUUUGAAGCAAGUGAUCUUUGUACCUACUCUCUCUUCUUACACCCCUUCCCCUUUUGAAACUCUUAAUAAAAAACUUGCUGGUUUGAGGCUCAGGUGGGCAUCAUGGUCCUACCGA
rnacentral:lncRNA from 10 species